AACGCACCUUGCGCUCCUUGGUAUUCCGAGGAGCAUGCCUGUUUGAGUGUCAUUAAUAUAUAUAUAUCAAACUUCUCUUUGUUGAGUGGUUUGGAUGUGGGGGUUUUUGCUGGGCCCUUGUAAAAGGGUUCAGCUCCCCUGAAAUGCAUUAGCAGAACAAACCCUGUUCAUUGGUGUGAUAACUAUCUACGCUAUUGAAUGUGAGGGGCAGUUCAGCUUUCUAACAGUCCUUGGACAAAUUCAUCAUUAAUGUGACCUCAAAUCAGGUAGGACUACCCGCUGAACUUAA
rnacentral:misc_RNA from 1 species